rnacentral:ribozyme from 12 species
AGCAAGAAAACAGCAAAAAUUACAAAAUGUCGCGGUGAUUUUGAAGCUCAGUUUUUUCAUUUUUUUUUUUUUUUUUUUUUUU